rnacentral:tRNA from 2 species
CGUGGCUCAGUUGGUAGAGCAAAUGACUCUUAAUCAUUGGGUCGUGGGUUCGAGCCCCACCGGG